GAGAGUCUGACGGAGCACGCCGCGUGAGUGAUGAAGGCUUUCGGGUCGUAAAACUCUGUUGUUAGGGAAGAACAAGUGCUAGUUGAAUAAGCUGGCACCUUGACGGUACCUAACCAGAAAGCCACGGCUAACUACGUGCCAGCAGCCGCGGUAAUCA
rnacentral:rRNA from 1 species